rnacentral:rRNA from 1 species
GUGGGGAAUCUUGCGCAAUGGGCGAAAGCCUGACGCAGCCAUGCCGCGUGAAUGAUGAAGGUCUUAGGAUUGUAAAAUUCUUUCACCGGGGACGAUAAUGACGGUACCCGGAGAAGAAGCCCCGGCUAACUUCGUGCCAGCAGCCGCGGUAAUACGGAGGGAGCUAGCGUUGUUCGGAAUUACUGGGCGUAAAGCGCGCGUAGGCGGUUACUCAAGUCAGAGGUGAAAGCCCGGGGCUCAACCCCGGAACUGCCUUGGAUACUGGGUGUCUUGAGUAUGAGAGAGGUGUGUGGAACUCCGAGUGUAGAGGUGAAAUUCGUAGAUAUUCGGAAGAACACCAGUGGCGAAGGCGACACACUGGCUCAUUACUGACGCUGAGGCGCGAAAGCGUGGGGAGCAAACAGGAUUAGAAACCCCAGUAGUCC